ensembl:lncRNA
AAUAUAAUUCACCAAAUCUUGAAAUGUUUGAUUUAAAAAAAUAAAUAUUGAGAUCCACUGGAUUUACGAAAAUGAUUCCUUUAAAAAGUAUGUAGUUGUAAUGGGCUUGUCCAUUUGGGUGGUGACACAGAGAGAAAUCCAGUGAUGAAUGGUGCAGAAUUACUAGUUGAUAAGUCACAUUUUGACAGAAGAAUAUACCACUUAAAGGACCUACACACUGGGAAAUGAUAAAUUCCGGAAAGCAAUUGAGCUGGGAGUUACUCCAGUGACAAAUGUUACCAUUUAUUAUAUUCAGAAGUCCUUGUUAUAAAGGCACCCAGGAGAUAUCUAGGUGUAAGCUACAGUAUCAUAAGCCUCAAAUGAGCUUUCUGUUAUUCCACCCAUUCCAGAGUGAGAGUCUCUCCUCUGAAGACAUCAAUCUCAUACUUGGAACAACAGAAUUGCAGCUCUGUGCUUUCAGUAACUCAAAAUGAUUCUCAGGCCUUCACCCAAACGUUUCCCCUAGCACAAAAUCCAGUGGUUCUAUGUUCCAGGGACAUGCCACAUUGUUAACAUUUUGGUAAAAUCUAUGUGGUCUCUUUGUUAACAUGACUUCUGAAGAAAGAGUAAAAUCUGUCCAUUCUAACAAUUUACUAAUGAUAGCCAUUCCUCACAAAGAGAGAAAAGACAAUUGCUAUGUUCAAGGCCCCUGUUUGAUCUCUCCUUGUGUUGUCUAGAUCUUGUAAUGGAAAUGAAAAAAAUGUGUAAUUUUUUCCUUCCAAUUUUGUUUUUUUGUUCUUUGUACAGAGAGCUUACCAAGUAGGAAUAAACAAAGGAAAAUCUAAGAAAACAAGAUGGGAGAAGCUGACUGGUCGGUUGGCCAGAGUUUCUCAUCAAGGAGUACAUGCUGUUUGCUCCCCAGAUGGACAGCCUGGAUGAGCUACAAAUCCACAGAGCCUGGGACACAAGGUGGAAAUUACACUGCCAGUACUUUUAAUCUUGCACAGCUCUGCAGACUUGAAAUUGCAAGUGGCCCAUUUCCAAAUAAGCAUCUAUUGGGACAAUAUCCUAUAUCUUGUCAGAAUGAGUUCCAUUAAAUCCUCAGCUGGAAUUAGACCAAAAACUUGUAAUAAUUAUAGGCAACUUAUUAAAAAGUUGAAGCCCUAGACUGUGACAGUGAAAACACUCAAGCGACAUUAACAGUAAUUGAUAUUUCUGUGAGUUCUUCUUUUUCAAUCAGCCCUUGUUGAUGGCUAAGCAAAGAACACCCAAAUGAGAAGGUGUGAAACCAAAACACCCAGCUUCUCAGAGGGGUAAUUGUCUUUUGUUUCAUUAUAAAAAUGUAGUGUUAGAAUAGCAGUGAACGGCUAAUUCUCAGCCAGGGGGACCUGCCAGACCCAUUUUCCCCCUUGCAGAAGGAAUUCUGGUUGUUAUCAUCAUAUAUGAAUGACCUGGCCUCUCCUCAGCCUCUCCUCAGUCGUGUGGGCCCUCUUUCUCCUCUCAUCUGCUGUUCUGCCUUCUACCUUCAACAUUCAUUGCCUCCCCUACCAACUUCUGAGGGUUAAAGACAAGAGUAAUAAAGAAAUAAUUUUGAAACCUGGCCUAGCAAAUAUUUUGCUAGUAUAUUUUGGGGUUCUUUUCAAAAGUUGAAAAUAUUCAAAUAAACUUUUCUCAGCUUCGGUCACAAAGAUAACUUUACUUUCAAUUUAUCUUCAGAUGGGGAAGUUUUUAAAAGGAGCUUUAUCAAGUUAGGAGACAUUCUCCAGCUUGUUUUUCAGUGACUUUACACUGAGCAAGGAGUACACCUGAUCGUGCUUGACUUUUUAUUUCUGUGUUUCUGGGAGUGAUUCUUGGGCAACCUUAGUUUAGUUUUGUUUUGACUUUUACAACUCAGGAUGACAUGAAAAGGCAAUUUGGACUCUUGAGAGAGGAACAGUAAAACUAAAAAAAAUCUCAAAAUGUGGGUUUAUUGGAGGACAAGCCAUUCUCAAUGGCAAGUCUGAAUCAGAAGUCAUGUCUGAUAAAUGUAAUCAUAUCCCUUUUUUUUUAAAAAAAAGUAGAAAUUUCUGUGUUCAACCAAGUGCUCCAAGUAGGGGCCAAACCACAGCUGGAGUACUAGGUUGAGUUGUGGAUGUCAGAUGGCAGGAGAGACAGAUACACAUUGGAGUAGACCCAGAGUAGAGGGACAAGGAUGGUGAGGAAGUUCACAACCAAACCUCAUAGGCAAGGUCAAAAGAUAGAACUCUGGGGAGACCUCUCUUGGGUAAGAGGGAGUCACAUUAUUUUGCAUGGUUGCAGGGGACAGAGGUGUGACCCAAGGGUGGAAGGAAGGAACACCAAGGUAGAGUGUUAAGUCU